rnacentral:rRNA from 1 species
GACGAACGCUGGCGGCGUGCCUAAUACAUGCAAGUUGAGCGCUGAAGGUUGGUACUUGUACCAACUGGAUGAGCAGCGAACGGGUGAGUAGCGCGUGGGGAAUCUGCCUUUGAGCGGGAGACAACAUUUGGAAACGAAUGCUAAUACCGCAUAAAAACUUUAAACACAAGUUUUAAGUUUGAAAGAUGCAAUUGCAUCACUCAAAGAUGAUCCCGCGUUGUAUUAGCUAGUUGGUGAGGUAAGGGCUCACCAAGGCGAUGAUACAUAGCCGACCUGAGAGGGUGGUCGGCCACAUUGGGACUGUGACACGGCCCAAACUCCUACGGGAGGCAGCAGUAGGGAAUCUUCGGCAAUGGACGAAAGUCUGACCGAGCAACGCCGCGUGAGUGAGGAGGGUUUUCGGAUCGUAAAACUCUGUUGGUAGGGAAGAACGUUGGUGAGAGUGGAAAGCUCAGCAAGUGACGGUAACUACCCAGAAAGGGACGGCUAACUACGUG